rnacentral:lncRNA from 1 species
AGGAUCGGCUAAGUAAGAAGAGAGGAGGAAAGAAGAUAAGGAGAAAAAGAAAAGAAGAAGAGAGGGAGAAUUCGGGAGAAGGAAGGGAGGAUAAGAAGGAAGAGAAAUCCAAAUUAGGAAAUCAAUCUCCUACAAAUCUCCAUAACCAUCUUCUCCAUUCUCCUCCAUCAAAAUCUCCAAGAAAGCAAGAGAGAGAAAGAAAUGGGUUUGAAGAUUUAAGCAUGGAUAAGGCUACGGGAGAACUCAAGGAGGAAGAAAAUCUAAUUCUAGCAAGAUCUAGAUCAUCAUCUAGCAUCUAAAGGAAGAAUCAAGGAAGUAUGUUCUUGAAAUUUUAAAUUUAUAUUUUCCUUCUUAAAUCUUCAGAUCUACUAAGUAAAUGUGUAUGUAAAUUGUUGAUUAUUGAAUAUGUUGUGAUUCUAUGAGUUAUGAGUCCAUAGAAUCUAAAAUGAACUGAUUUGGAUGUGUAAAACUUGAGUUAUGAAGAUUUGAAGGAUAAAGAGUUGAAAAUUUUCGCGAAGAACAAAUUUUAGAAAAGUUAAUAGAC